CAAUAGCGUAUAUUAAAGUUGUUGCAGUUAAAAAGCUCGUAGUUGGAUUUCUGGCCGGAGAGACCGGUCGGCGCCCUUUGGGCGUGUGCACUGUUGUCUGCUCCGGCCAUCCUUGCGGAGAGCGCAUGUGCCCUUAAUUGGGUGUGUGUGGGAUCCGCAACGUUUACUGUGAAAAAAUUAGAGUGUUCAAAGCGGGCUUACGCUUGAAUAUAUUAGCAUGGAAUAACACUAUAGGACUCCUGUCCUAUCUCGUUGGUCUCGGGAUGGGAGUAAUGAUUAAGAGGAACAGUUGGGGGCAUUCGUAUUUCAUUGUCAGAGGUGAAAUUCUUGGAUUUAUGAAAGACGAACUUCUGCGAAAGCAUUUUGCCCAAGGAUGUUUUCAUUAAUCAAGAACGAAAGUUGGGGCUCGAAGAUGAUCAGAU
rnacentral:rRNA from 1 species